ACAAAAGUCACUCCAAAAGGAGCGCUUGCUCCUCCCAGGCCUGCCCGUGGGAUUCCUUUCAGGUUUAUAACAGACUGGGUGGACACUCGGAGCUGCCUGGGGUCAGGGCUCAGGAGAAACACCCUGGAUUUAGAGCUCAGUGUCAUCCUUGUCUGUUGUCUGCUGCGGUGAAGACAACGUCUACUCCCAGAGCUACUCCUCGGUGUCCUGGCAGCUAUAUUAUAAGGAAGAGUGUGAGGAAAGUACGACCCAAAGCCUGCAGAAUCCGUCUUAAGAUUGGACCUCCUCUCAAAUGGGAAGGAUCUUUUAACAUUGUUUGGUAUUGACUUCCGGGAGAACAUGGCGGAUAGAUAGCAGCAGCUACGGAGGCUCUCUGAGAUAUCCUGCUUAGAAUCCAGGAAUGGGGCAGUUUGAGGAGUCCUAAGCAAGGAGAGAUAUACCCUGCUGACCCAGGAACGAACUAAGCUGAGAGAAACCAACUGGAAAUGCAAUCCUAGUGCUAUAACAGGAACAGAUAAAAUCUCAGUACGGAAGCUGGAUCCCACGCCAUUGGAAGCCGCAAUUUCAAUUUCCUGCUGCCGCUGCCGCGUCCAAAUCGGCACAGCAGGGAGAGAGAUGCGCGAAAACUCUGAGAGUGGGACUCGGCGAAUGGAGUUGAGAACGGGACUGGCAGGGAGCCCUGCAUCAACCUGCAGUGAGUGAGCGGAAUGGGGACCCUUCCAUAGAGUAGGAGGCUUCAGCAAAGGACAUACUGGGACCAGGCAGACUUGCCAGAACAGGACGCUGCAGUAACUUUAGUCGCAUAUUCCCCUCUCAAGCAGGAUUGGUGGGGAGUGCCUGGCCUGGGUGAUGCCAUUGACUAAGACCCAGUAGGCUAGCCCAAACCAGGUCCCAGCACCUGGUGGUGCACCCUAGCAAUGAAGCCUUCAGUAGGUUGACCUGGAGGGGCAGGCUCAGCAGAGGCUGCCCAGGUCUGUGUCUCCCUAGUACACUGCAGUGGGCAGGAACACCUAGCCAGUGCAAUUCAAACAAACUAUAACCAACAAAAAGAAAAAAAACUGGGCCUCCUAUAUUCCCUUGUAUGUUAGGAACAAAAAGUAUGGGAAGAGGAAGCAACAAGAAAGGGUCCUCAGUCCCCAUUCCUGAGAACAUUGACCCAGGAAAGAUGAAUGCAAAGGAGAAUGAGGACAGAAAACAUGCAAUAUCAGACACAGCACCAACAGACAUAAAGCGAUAUCUCUGGAGCCUCAUAGAUGAGUUCAAAAGAGAAGUAUUUAAUGAAAUAAAGUAAGAUAUAAGUAGAAUACUUAGAGAAAUACUAAGCACCACCCAAGAAAAAACAGAUGGUAGAAUGGAAGAACAGAAAAAAGGGGAGAAUUGUUUGAUGGAGAAAAUAGAGAAAACAUAGAAUACGUGAAGCAGGUUCAAAGAGAUUGCCAGGAAACUAAAAACUCUAUCGAAAGCUGGCAUAACAGCUUGAAAGAAACUAAGGAUAGGUUAUCUGAACUGGAGGGCAGAUUUGUAAUGUGGGAGCAUGAAAUGAAAAACUUCUUAAAAAUAACAAGAAAACAAACAGCAAUAAUACAAAGGCUAGAAGAUGAUAAGAGGAUCUAUAACUUAAGAAUUAAGAACAUAAAAGAAGAAGUAGGGACACAAACAAAUGGACUACAAAAGCUACUCACAGAAAUAAUCCAAGAGAAUUUCCCUAAUUUAGCAAAAGGUAAAGAUACUCAGAUGUAUGAGGCAUACAGGACCCCAGCCACCUACGACCCAAACAGAACUACACCCAGGCAUAUAAUAAUCAAAAUUCCAGAAAUCCAAUAUAAGGAUUACUAAAAGCCGUCAGAGACAAGAAACAGAUCACUUACAAGGAAACACCCAUCAGAAUUACAGCAGACUUCUUGGCACAAACCAUCAAAUCACGAAGAGCAUAGGGGGAAAUAAUUCAAGCUUUGAAAGAUAACAACCUCCAGCCAAGAUUGAUAUAUCCUGCACAACUGUCCCUAGAAAUUGAUGGAAAAACAAGGUGCUUCCAGGAUAAAGAGGAACUAGGGGAAUUUGCAACCACCAAUUCAACUCUACAGAGAAUACUGCAGGAUAUUCUAAAAAAGGAAAAUACCAAGACUUCAGAAACAGUGGCAGAGAGGCCACAAUGAAUGGAGCAGAAAGCAAAAUGAAGAAGAUAAACUGACAACAAACGACAGAAAAAGAGCUCAAGAGAAAUGAGGCAGAAAAGAUUGGAUGGUAGGAACAGCUAUUUUGGAGAAAACAAGACAUCAUAAUAGCUAGUGCUGAUUUAGUAUCAUCUUGCUUUGAAGUCCCAUCAAGCUUUUAUUCUUCUGUCUCCAUCAGUCUUAACAGGUUGUAUCUUAUUGGAUUUUAUUAUAUGUGAUAAGAUAAGCAAAAACUUUUAUGGACAAGGAAAUUAUACAGAAACCAUUGUUCAUUUUCUGAUAGUUGGUUCUAAAUACCCUGUAAUACUGUCAUUCUCUUGAAUGGUUUUACAUUGUCUUGAUAUGUUUGAUGCUACAGUAUACAAAGUUAUACUCAAAGAUUUCAAGGAAAGAGACACUAUGGUAAUUACUUUUAUGUCAGGAUAUCUUGUGGUGAAACACUAUUUUGCUUAAAUGGUUAUGCUUUGACCUGCAGUGUUUUGUUGUUAUGCCCUCUUUUAUCUAAAUCUCCUUUUUAAAAAUUAUUUACUUUUUUAUUUUUAUCUUUUUAAUUAAGGGAAAAUUUUAAAAAAGCAGGAUACAUUAUAGUAACCUACUUUGCUUUCCUAUUAACUUGAUUUGAAACCCUGUAUAGCCCUCACCAUCUUGCUUUGACUGAUUUUCCUCUAUUCUGCUUUGCUUGAUAGUACCAAGUUAGAAAGUAUAGGCAAAACUGUGAAGAUAAUAAGACUCAUUAUGAAGUCCAUUCCGGUUGACUAUUACCUUCUUUUAAAGUCCUGUAAUGUCUCCAAUGUUUUGGUUUUAUUCUUUACUGUUUUGUUCAAUUUUAUUGUAACUGAUGAUAUAAGCAAUUCUUUUUAAGAUAGCAAGAGGCAGUAUGGUAACCAUUGUUGAUCACCUAGUAUUUUGUACUAGUACAUUAUCUAUUAUGUCCAUUCUUUUGAUUUGACUGACUGUUCUGUUAUGUCACAUUUGGUUUUACUCUCUUCAAAAAAAAGUAAUAAUAACUGUGGGAGUAAUAAAACCCAAAAUGUGUAAUUGUCAUUGUACAAAAGAAAGGAAAAGAAAGUGCUCUAAAGGAUAUAACUGUAUAUAUAUUUAAAUGUAUAAGAUAGAUAACCAUAUUACUGAGUUUUGUUGGAUCAUUGAACUGUUUGCAGUCUCACUGUUUGAAAGUCCACUUUAUAUGCUUUAAAUUUGUAACUUGAACAACUAUUUCUAAGAUAAUAAUAUGUAAUCUAUUAACUAGUGAUUUCCUACUGUUUAUUCUUUCUGAAAUUCUGUAUAACUUGUACCCUUUUUCUGUUUUUUUUCUUUUUCUCCUUAAAUAAAAUUAAAAAAAAACAUGUAUGAUA